rnacentral:lncRNA from 1 species
AAAAAGAUCGAAGUCAUGGGGACAUAUAAGAGAAAAUUUUAAAAGAAAAAAGUCGAAGGAUCCUCUUAUUCCACACCUUCAAUUAUUGGAGUAAGGAUGCAAACAUGUUCUAUAUCAACAUGAAGGAAACCUUUGAAACUGUCUAGAGUGAGCUUAGUCGAAACCACCCGUUUAACAAAUUUUAGGGAAUCUUGUUGAAGGAAUUUUAUAUAAUCUUGGUGGCUUUUCAUUUUUUCAGCAAAUAUUACAGCUACGUUUUUU